UAAAAACCCCGACUUCGGAAGGGGUGUAUUUAUUAGACACAAAACCAAUGCCCUUCGGGGCUCUUUGGUGAUUCAUGAUAACUAUACGAAUCGCACGGCCUUGCGCCGGCGAUGGUUCAUUCAAAUUUCUUCCCUAUCAACUUUCGAUGUUUGGGUAUUGGCCAAACAUGGUUGCAACGGGUAACGGAGGGUUAGGGCUCGACCCCGGAGAAGGAGCCUGAGAAACGGCUACUACAUCCAAGGAAGGCAGCAGGCGCGCAAAUUACCCAAUCCCGACUCGGGGAGGUAGUGACAAUAAAUACUGAUACAGGGCCCUUUCGGGCCUUGUAAUUGGAAUGAGUACAAUUUAAAUCCCUUAACGAGGAACAAUUGGAGGGCAAGUCUGGUGCCAGCAGCCGCGGUAAUUCCAGCUCCAAUAGCGUAUAUUAAAGUUGUUGUGGUUAAAAAGCUCGUAGUUGAACCUUGGGCCUGGCUGGCCGGUCCGCCUCACCGCGUGCACUGGUCCGGCCGGGCCUUUCCCUCUGUGGAACCCCAUACCCUUCACUGGGCGUGGCGGGGAAACAGGACAUUUACUUU
rnacentral:rRNA from 1 species